rnacentral:ncRNA from 1 species
UGGUCCCAACCUUGAAGUCAAUUAUUGCUUCCCUUACACAUGCAAGUCUCCGCACCCCUGUGAAAACGCCCUUAAAUCCCCAAUAGGGACUAGGAGCUGGUAUCAGGCACAACAAUUAGCCCAAAACACCUAGCUACGCCACACCCACAAGGGUACUCAGCAGUGAUCAACAUUGAAAAAUAAGCGACAGCUUGACUCAGUUAAAGCAAAAAGGGCCGGCAAACCCGGUGCCAGCCGCCGCGGAUACACCCUCGGGGCCCAAAUUGACCUCUUUCGGCGUAAAGCGUGAUUAAAGUUAGCCAAUACUGUAGUUUAACUAAAACUAAGUAGUGAUAUGCUUAUAUUUAGGACAACCAAAAACGAAAGUUACUACACCCAAAACAAUUUGAACUCACGACAGCUAGGACACAAACUGGGAUUAGAUACCCCACUAUGCCUAGCCGUAAACCUUGAAUUACACUCCCCUAAUCGCCAGGGAACUACGAGCAAAGCUUAAAACCCAAGGGACUUGACGGUGCCCCAUAUCCCCCUAGAGGAGCCUGUCCUUUAAUCGAUAAUCCCCGCUUAACCUCACCAUUUUUAGCUACAUCAGUCUGUAUACCUCCGUCGUCAGCUUACCACAUGAGCGAUAAGCAGUAAGCUUAAUGUCCACAACCCUACGUCAACACGUCAGGUCAAGGUGCAACUUAUAAAAUGGAAAGCGAUGGGCUACACUCUCUAAUAUAGAGAACACGAAAAACUAAUUAUGAAAACUAGUUGAAAGGCGGAUUUAGUAGUAAAAAGAGAAUAGAGAGCUCUUUUUAACCCGGCACUGGGGUGUGUACACACCGCCCGUCACCCUCUUCGCAGCCCUAUUACAGUUUUUAACAAACCUACGCAUCAUAGAAGAGGCAAGUCGUAACACGGUAAGUAUACCGGAAGGUGUGCUUGGAAA